GGGGAAGAUCUUUGUCAGAUUAGAUCAUGGGAAGAAUGCCAAGAAUUGGAUGCUGACCGUUGGUUGUAGUCUUCCUGGAAAAUGGGUUCUUCACUGGGGAGUUUCUUAUGUUGACGACGUUGGCAGUGAAUGGGAUCAACCUCCUAGUGAAAUGAGGCCACCUGGUUCAAUUCCCAUCAAGGACUAUGCAAUAGAUACACCCUUGAAUAAAUCAGCG